UACGUAGGGUGCGAGCGUUGUCCGGAAUUAUUGGGCGUAAAGAGCUUGUAGGCGGUCUGUCGCGUCUGCUGUGAAAAUCCGGGGCUCAACCCCGGACUUGCAGUGGGUACGGGCAGACUAGAGUGUGGUAGGGGAGACUGGAAUUCCUGGUGUAGCGGUGAAAUGCGCAGAUAUCAGGAGGAACACCGAUGGCGAAGGCAGGUCUCUGGGGCCACUACUGACGCUGAGAAGCGAAAGCAUGGGGAGCGAACAGG
rnacentral:rRNA from 1 species